GCAAGUCGGACGGUAGCACAGAGAGCUUGUCUCGGGUGACGAGUGGCGGACGGGUGAGUAAUGUCUGGGGAUCUGCCCGAUAGAGGGGGAUAACCACUGGAAACGGUGGCUAAUACCGCAUAACGUCGCAAGACCAAAGAGGGGGACCUUCGGGCCUCUCACUAUCUGAACCCAGAUGGGAUUAGCUAGUAGGCGGGGUAAUGGCCCACCUAGGCGACGAUCCCUAGCUGGUCUGAGAGGAUGACCAGCCACACUGGAACUGAGACACGGUCCAGACUCCUACGGGAGGCAGCAGUGGGGAAUAUUGCACAAUGGGCGCAAGCCUGAUGCAGCCAUGCCGCGUGUAUGAAGAAGGCCUUCGGGUUGUAAAGUACUUUCAGCGGGGAGGAAGGCGGUGCGGUUAAUAACCGCGCCGAUUGACGUUACCCGCAGAAGAAGCACCGGCUAACUCCGUGCCAGCAGCCGCGGUAAUACGGAGGGUGCAAGCGUUAAUCGGAAUUGGGCGUAAAGCGCACGCAGGCGGUCUGUUAAGUCAGAUGUGAAAUCCCCGGGCUUAACCUGGGAACUGCAUUUGAAACUGGCAGGCUUGAGUCUCGUAGAGGGGGGUAGAAUUCCAGGUGUAGCGGUGAAAUGCGUAGAGAUCUGGAGGAAUACCGGUGGCGAAGGCGCCCCCUGGACGAAGACUGACGCUCAGGUGCGAAAGCGUGGGGAGCAAACAGGAUUAGAUACCCUGGUAGUCCACCCGUAAACGAUGUCGACUUGGAGGCUGUUCCCUUGAGGAGUGGCUUCCGGAGCUAACGCGUUAAGUCGACCGCCUGGGGAGUACGGCCGCAAGGUUAAAACUCAAAUGAAUUGACGGGGGCCCGCACAAGCGGUGGAGCAUGUGGUUUAAUUCGAUGCAACGCGAAGAACCUUACCUACUCUUGACAUCCAGCGAACUUUCCAGAGAUGGAUUGGUGCCUUCGGGAACGCUGAGACAGGUGCUGCAUGGCUGUCGUCAGCUCGUGUUGUGAAAUGUUGGGUUAAGUCCCGCAACGAGCGCAACCCUUAUCCUUUGUUGCCAGCGAUUCGGUCGGGAACUCAAAGGAGACUGCCGGUGAUAAACCGGAGGAAGGUGGGGAUGACGUCAAGUCAUCAUGG
rnacentral:rRNA from 1 species